UGUACAGGAGACAGGGGAUCAUGGAGGCCAAUCCAACCGGCCAUGGUCACACCAUGGUGCGUGUCGAGCAUCCCCUGGUCCCCAUGAAGCAUUAGGCCGAGCCCUGACCCCCACGGCCGAAACCCUAGACCAUUUCCCCUCACCCUCUUCUCCCUCGCCCGCACCCGCACCCGCAGCCCUGUCGCCAUGGCCUCGUCGAUCCCGCGGCCACCGGCCUCCCCUCGCCGCACCAAGACAUCCAGGAGCCCCUCCAUUGUCGUCUCCUUUGCCCUCGCAUAAGGGCCCGAGCUGGGAGGCCCCGUACGCUCGCCAUCGCCGUCGUCUUCGCCCACGGCCGCCGCAUCUCGUCGUCGAGUUCUUCGUGUCCGGCCACCCCUGCGCUCCUUGACCACGUCCACAAGCUCCGCGAUAUCGGAGCCGAGGAGCCAGAUGCCACCGCCGAUGCUUACUACUACGUGGAGGCCGCCGACGACCAGGAGUAGUUAGGAGGCUCCCAGGCAGGAGGCCUUGCCUUUUCGAUCGUAGAUGCUUUUGUGCUGGCCUUAUUAAGGCAAGCUUGUCUAACUCAUGUAUGUACUUAGAUACUGUUGCUUCAGCUGACUCUUGUGUAUUCGAGCUUAUGUAUUCGAGUCGAGGCCCCUGGCUUGUAAUAUAAAGCUUGUAUUAUUUUAAUUUGUGUCUA